GAGAGCACCUAAUUCUUGUCUCCCAGACCUUGAACCACAGCCUGGCAGCCUCCAAGGGAUCCUCCCUGCUUGGGGUGCUGUUUGUGGGAGUGCUGCUGGUGGCUCUGGAUCCCACGGAGUGUUCCCAUCCCAUCACCACCGGCUGCCAGCUUCGGGAUCACGGCCACCCAGGGAGUUGGACAUCACGGAGCUGGACACACACCAGGGAGCCGACUCGCUUCUGACACCGAGCUCAGUCUCCAAACAUAAAAGAAGAGAAAGUCAGGACAGAAAAGCAUUGGAGCUUUCUUCUUCCUCCACACCUGCUGUUCCUGGUCGUCAGGCACUUCCAAAGAGGAGAGUUCUCCAAGUUCCCAGUCAUUACCCUUUACAUAAGCAUAAUAUAGUGCUGCACUUCCUACAGGGAAGCUAUCUAUUGUAGCAAUCUGUAAAACAAAAGCUGGAUUGCUCCUUCUCCCAUUGCUCCCAGAAUCAAAAAGCUGCCUGCUGUUCCUCAAAUGGGAAGGCUGAAAGCCUUCAUCAGAGGGUAGUUCAUUUUUACACGACAUUUUUACACUCAAGCAAAACUGAAAGCAAGGCAUAAUUUGAAACAGCCACGCUCGCCGUUAGAGCAGAACCACACAAAUAAAAUGCCUGGGAUGAUGGAGUUGAAUAUGUUGCAGUCAGAAAAAUGACAGCUUGCAGGGAACGAGGAAAACUAGAUGGAUGAAUGGGAAUUAGUGAGGAGCAGACUUCCAAGGCAGACAAAUCAAAUUGAGAGCGUGGAUCAUUAGAUUCAAAGGAAGCAGGUAAGGAGUGCACUAAAUUGUACCUUAAACAACAAACCAAGGGCUCCAGCCUCCAGGGAGAGGGGAUGGAACAGGGCUGGGGAUAUGGGAGUGGCUCCCAGGUGUGUCCUGGCCACUGGCUUUGUGACCUCACCCAGGUCACCCUGUGUCCUUCACAUCAGCUCCUGUGCUGUGGGGCAUGGCAGGCACUGGACAUAGAGGAUGCUUUGAAGAUCUGCAGAUGUGCCCAGCUCCAGAGGAGACAGCUGAAAGCUUCCUGGAUGGCCUGUCCUGGCACCUGUCACCUUCCAGGGCUGCCACUGAUAUCCAUUGUAUGGAGCUGGCUCUUUGCCUGUUUGGUUUUUUUUUUUUUUUCCAGAAGGUGAAGGGAUAUACAAGGGGAGAAAUUACUGUGUUGUUGAAUUUUUCAAAAUUAACUGUGCACGAUUAUACCCAAGGAAGUGGGGUGGAAGAAACACUUCACAUACAGCAGCACUUUGCAGAUGUGAGAAAAUGUGACAUGGUUUGGACCUGCCUGGAAACAGCUGAGCUGGGGGAAUUUGUGUAUUUUAAAAAUAAAGCUCAUGCUUUUCUUGGACAAACUUUCAGGUCACUGUAACACAGAACUGAAGGUCACAAUUCCUAAGAAGAUUAUGAAAUGCCCCAGAUGCUCAGUGUGACAGUCUAGACAAGGCAGCUGAGGGAGAGAUGCUGAAGGAAGUUCCUGGGACUGGUACAGGAAAGAAAAGCCCUCAGGAUGGAAAACUCCACACAGAGCUUCCCUUGGUGCUCCCGCCUGGACACUCCUGCAGAUCCCAGCUGAGUCCUGCUCAAGGAUAAAACUCAUGGUCACAGGGGAACCACUCCCAUUGGAAUCCCAUCUGGCUGAUUCCUCCAUUUCAGCUGAGGUGGAAGUGUCACUGGAUCUCACAGAGAUGUGUGAAUGGAAUGAUAAGGAAAGUUCUCCAGCAGGAGCUGAAAAGCACCACCCUUGCUGGGAGUAUAAACCAACAGAUGCUUUACAAAAGCAAAAGUGAUCUGAUCAUUCCCACAAGAACCAUAGAAUCAUAAAACCAUGGAAAGGUUUGGGUUGGAAGGAACCUUAAAGCUCAUCCAGUCCCACCCCUGCCAUGGGCAGGAACACCUUCCACUGUCCCAGGCUGCUCCAAGCCCUGUCCAGCCUGGCCUUGGGCACUUUCAGAGAUGGGGCAGCCACAGCUGCUCUGGGCAACCUUUGCCAGGGCCAUUUUAUAAACCUGAUGUUAGUGCUGUGUAAUUGAGGGAAAGGCAUCCCCUGCUGUCCCGUGUUAUCCAUCGUUAUCCCAGGUUUAGCCACUUGAACCUGUUACUGAGCUGCACUGAUCUGAACAUGGCAGUUGUUAGGAUUCUUCUCCCCUUCAUUCCUUAAUUAAUAGUCUGUUUAUUUUAUCAAAUGCUUUAUUGGUGAAGAUGUUCAGCAUGUCCAGAGCUUUCCCAUCCCCUUGGCAGCCUCCCACAUUUCGCCCUGCCAUCAAUCCCAUCCUAAUUCGCUUGCCAUGCAAGGUGCUACCCUGCUGGUUUAGUUGGCCAGCCUGGGAUGUGGUUCCUUCCAGCAGCCCUUAAGAAAACCCUUGCACAUCCUUUCCUUCAUUUUAUCCUCUUUUUCCUUUUAGCUCUGGUUGUUUGCAGCAGGCUCUGGCAGCUGUAAAUGUUAGUUAAAGCCUUAUUGAUGCCCGGUGCUUUCCAGCCGCCUGGUGCAGCGGUUUAUUUGGGUCUCUGGUGAUGUUUAGAGAUGCAUUUCCUCUCAUCUUUCCCAGCUAUAUUUUACUGUUUGCUCAUUUGCUUGAUGACAGUUUGCUGCUGGGUUUUGGAAGAGCUUUGCAGUGCAUUAUCUUGUGAGUUAAUCCUGACCUGCUUCCUUGGCUCCAGCAGCUGCCCUGGCACGUCCUGAGCCGGACGCUGCCGCUGUCAGGAAUUUUCUGCCAGGUUUUUGCUGUCAAUAUUUUUGGCCAUUGCUCUGUGUCAGUCACGUCUGGAUUAAGCUCCCCUGUGAUAUCCUGAGGGCGAGAUGAGCUGUGUCACUGCACAAGGGAUCAGCCUUGGUGCUGUGGGGGAGGUUCCUGAGGGUUGGAGAAGCUCCAGCCCACGGGGUCUGGCUGGGAUGGUUCUUGCUAUGAAUCCACGCUCUGUGAUUCUUGAGCUGUCCUAGGAGACUGCUUCACCUUUUUCAGGAUGAUUUAAGAGGAUGUGCUGUUCAGGAUUCCCACUCGAGUGUUAUUUAUUAGUUUUGUAGUGUCUUCCAGGCUGCUUUCUUCAGGCUAGUGUUGAUUCCUUGGGGACAAAGGAAACAAAGGCAGGAGAACGCUUGCAGGAGGGAUAAAACAGGAGUCUGACUGAUAUCUUCUCUCUCUCUCUCCAUGGUGUUUUUUCACAGAUCAAAAAUCAAUUAAGGGCGAAUUUCACUGGGAACUCUUUAAACAAUGUGAUAUUUCAUUAGAGAUUAUUGCAGGCUCUUUAACAUUUGCAGUCCAGGUGUGAAUUACAAAAUUAGCCAGAUUCCUUUAAUGAUUUCCUCCGAGGUAACAUUCCUCCAAGCACCCUGUGCCUGGAGCAAGCUGUGCAGCUGCUGCUGGAGAAGGGGUGUUUAUUGCCUCCCCCCACAUCCUGAUGGAGACACAAGACUGGAGGACUGGUUUUGAUUGUGACAGCAGCCUGGCUGGGCACAGGGUUUUGGCCUGGAAGAUGAGAACUGAAGCAAAUAAGAGUGGAAUGCUGUAGGAGAGGUAGAGAGGAGCUUUGAGAUGAGCAGAUUUGUUUUUUUUUUCUCCAAUCCCUUAUUGAGCUGUUAGCAGCACAAGCUUGUGCCUUUUUGAGACUUCCCUAUGGCUUUCCAGGUCCUUCCCUUGCUCCUGGAUCUGUCCCUGCUGCCAUCUGAACCCCACAGCACAGAGACAGAAGCACUUUGGAGGUGCCAGUGAGCUUUCACUGCCAUCUGGAUUUCUUGGGACACAGCACUCCUUCCAAACCCUUCCCCUCCUGAAGGCACAAAGAGCUGAGCAGUCUGGGUCCUCUGCUCCAGUGCAACUCCCUCUCCAUCAUUAAUCCUGCCUGGAACUUGCCCUUUUCAGUGCCCAUUCCCUCCCUCGUCCAUCUUGCCUUAUUCACAGCCCAGUUAUUAAUCCUUAUUUGGGGCUCAUCUGUCUUAGUGAGCUCGGGGAGCCACCCCUGGCAGGGAGAGGAGCACCUUUCAUUGCUUUCAGGGUGCUGUGGUUGGGUGGGAGGGAAAUGGGUCAGUUUUGGG